CUACGGGAGGCAGCAGUGAGGAAUAUUGCGCAAUGGGCGAAAGCCUGACGCAGCGACGCCGCGUGAGGGAUGAAGGCCUUCGGGUUGUAAACUUCUGUUAAGUGGGAAGAAAUCUUUGUUAGUAAUACGAACAAAGGAUGACGGUACCAUUAGAGAAAGCACCGGCUAACUUCGUGCCAGCAGCCGCGGUAAUACGAGGGGUGCUAGCGUUAUUCGGAAUUAUUGGGCGUAAAGGGUGUGUAGGCGGUUUGCCAAGUUCGCUGUUAAAUUUUUCAGCCUAACUGAAAGCUUGCGGUGGAAACUGGCUGACUAGAGAAUGGAAGAGAGAGGUGGAAUUCUCGGAGUAGCGGUAAAAUGCGUGGAUCUCGAGAGGAACACCGAUGGCGAAGGCAGCCUCUUGGUCCAUUUCUGACGCUGAGACACGAAAGCGUGGGGAGCAAACAGGAUUAGAUACCCGAGUAGUC
rnacentral:rRNA from 1 species